GGACUACAAGGGUAUCUAAUCCUGUUCGCUCCCCUAGCUUUCGCACCUGAGCGUCAGAUGCUUCCCAGGACACUGCCUUCGCCUUUGGUGUUCCUCCGGAUAUCUACGCAUUUCACCACUCCACCCGGAAUUCCGUGUCCCUCUGAAGCCCUCAAGUCAGGCAGUUUCUAUCACACUUCAUCGGUUGAGCCGAUAACUGUCGCGACAGACUUACCUGACCGCCUGCGUGCGCUUUACGCCCAGUAACUCCGGACAACGCUUGCCCCCUACGUAUUACCGCGGCUGCUGGCAC
rnacentral:rRNA from 1 species